UUGGUGGAGCAGGGAAGGCGUGAAGGGGACAACAGAACUGCUGGCUUGAGACAUGACGAGGGGAAAGGUCUAAAUGACUCCCUGCAUUGAGGGGGCUCUGGGUCCCAUGGGUCUAUUGGUAGACAGAAGAGGACGCAAUGAGGCAGAUGCAGUGCCCCUGGUGCUUGUUGUAUACUUGGCCUCCAGAGGCUCUUGUUUGCAAACAACAUCUGUCUUUUGCACUACUUCGGCACUUCUGCCAGCCAGAGUCCGCCCCUGUGGCUUCCCUGUGACAUCUGCUUCCACCUGGCCCAAGCUGCCAUGAGCAGGUGCCCAGAGGAAGAGGACAAACAACCGCACAAGGUGGCUGUGGCAUUGCUCACACACAUGCAUAGCUCAGGAUGGAGUGUUACUUUUCCAGCUGAGGUACCCCUGGAUGGGAAGUGAGGAAUACAAACAGUGAAGAGAUGUUGUUCCAAAUGCAAAAGGAGAUGGGCCACAGAAGACCUGAGAGUGUGAAGAGAAACCCAGAUGAACAAAGGAAGAAAGAGAUAAGGCUAAAGGUCUGGCACUGAUAUCUGAAAGACAGUAGUGGCUGAAUUACAAGUAUAUGAGCCUACCCAGGAGCAGGCACACAGCAGAUCUGCAGGAUUUGUGCUCUUCUGAACUCUGGGCAAAAACUUAGGAACCAGAUUAGUAACAACUUGUGCUGAUGUUUGCAUAGGUUUUUCUCUACUCUGAGACAUCAAGACUCAAAAGAUGUGGCUGUCUGCUAUGUAGUAGAGAAGAGGAACCUCUGUGUGGCAACUGUAUCCCAAAACAAUCCCUGUCCAGGAAGAGUGUUCCUUUGAGUGCACUCAGCAGCAUCAGAGCUACUUUGUGCAAGUGGAGAGGUGUGAAAUAUCAGCAAACGUAAGGGACAAGGGGAUGAUGAGGGUUAGCCUAUUGCAAUGUAAAAUUGAUGAAGUGCUAUCCCAGGAAACCAAACUGGACCAAGAUACAAUGGGGACAACAGCUCACACAUGCAGUCGACAAGAAAAAUGAGAAAUCUGUCAUUGUGAUGGAAUCCCUACAAACUUAGUAUGGUGAAAUUUGUCUUCAGCUACUCCCUCCCUGGCUUUGAAAGCAUCAGCCAGCAAAUGGUGGGCAUCUCUUCUUAGAUGUUCAACAGAACCUGUGCGCAGUACAGGCACUGAGCUAACAAAAAACAUGAUAGAUUUAAGUGUCACAAGAGAGCAAGGAAAAAUCCAGAUCGGGGCUUUCUAGGCUUUGUUUCUUUUAUGCACGCUGGAACAAGGAAAUAUAUCAAUAUGGAAGUUUAGAAAUGGUUUGAGGUUUCGCAGAACUUGCAUCAGAGUGGCCUUGUGCCUUCACAAAGGUCACAUGGUGAAGUGCUAGUUUCAGGCAGCAUGGCUUUGGGAAUUUCAGAGGGUUGUUUAGAGGAAUAGCCCAGGACUUGGCCGAGGUACUGAUCAGGCUGUGUGGGAACUUACUUCAUCCCACAGAUACCUAAAAUUCAAUUUUGUUGCAGUGUGAAUAAUCUGCAUUCAAUGUAGUACUUCUGUCCAUGAUCAGUAACUUUUCUAUGAGAGAAAGCUACAAACUUCCCUGGUCUAUCUAGAGAGCUACUAGCUUUUUGAGAUCACUCUUGACAGAAGCAUUUUGAGUUUAAACUGGGUUUGCCAAGAAAUCCGUAACAGGUAGGCGAGCUGGUGUUUUUCCAGCGUGCAGCAUUGACCAGCCACCUCAGUGUGCUCUGAGGAGAACUGGUGCUUGGCUUUCCUGGAAUGCUGGGCACCAGCACAGGGAAGGCUGCCCAGGAGGGAGCACAGACUCCCUGCACCAGCAUCUGUAUUUUUAUUGCAUCAUCACACCAAGUCUUGCUUGUAAGAAGUGAGAUGACAUGGUAUUAAAACCAUGGGCAGCCUGUGAUGGCGCUGGUGCCAUUGCAAGUAGAGGGAACUUGCUCUGCGGAAGUAUGGAGAAGGCCAGUGCGUUCACAGAGACAAGAAUAAACUGUUCUACAAUAGGAUUUGGCAACAAAUGCAAAGCAUUGUUCAGUUUGCUGUUGUUGGGGUUGCAGAGGAAGGCACAGUUUCUCAUAGAGAAGAUACAUUUCAGCUCAGUUUGCUGAUCCAGAUGGAAAACCGAGUGACAAACCUGUAUCUCAGCCUCUGGGCUUCUCCAAACAAAGUAGGCUAGUUCUUGUUUUCAGCUGCAUCAGAAGCUCUCUUUGAUGUUUAGCUUCAUAGGAAUAGAUUGAUUUCUCCUAUAGCCUGGAUGCAACUGGUUCUGCCAGUGAAAGCCCUGUGUGUGGGCACCUCCAUCCCACACCAGUUGUGGGAUGUUCUUCACUAGUGGGAACUCAGGUCAGCACAUUUGAGCAGAUGGGCCCAGAUAAAGAAUGACAGACCAAAUUUUGAAAUGUAUACACAGGGAAGAGCAGCUACUGUCUGCUUUAGUGGCAGGAGAUAUCAUGCUAGUCUGUCAUGAGUCUCAUGAAAUGAAUCACUCAAUGUAAACAAGGUUCAGCAUAACUCCAGUUCGAUCUAUCCAUGUAUCUGUCUUCACUCUUAGGGAAAGAAGAGGUGGUUGUUGUUGCUUGUUUUUUUUUGUUUUGUUUUGUUUUUUUUCUUCAGGAUCUCCAUUCAGCCUAGGUAGCAGAUCACUCUUACUCUUGCAUGGUGCUCUGCAGGACAAGCAUCAUUUUGAUGAAACUGCAAUUUUCCUUUACUGGAAACUGGAGGCUGUGUGAGAGUCGCCACCACCUCAAAGAAUUUCCAAUGGCCUGUGUUAUUUAAUGGCCUACCUGAAAUGCUCUGAGAGCUGCCUGGCACUGCCAGAGCCAGCAUCCAGCAUGGGCAGGGCCAAUGAACAGAGAGAAGGAGCAGUCAUGAUCAGGUGGUACUGUGACAGCCAGAAGAACUCAGGCUGAAAGUGCUCAGAACUGCGUGCUUUCCAGGUAAUCUGACUUCCCAUACCACAUGCUCCUGGAGAAGGCAUUGACUCCAACUGCUUCUGAGGAACUCCACUUACUCCUGCUUAGGGGACCUCAGCUCUGCGUGGGUUACAGAGGUUUUUCUCCAUGUGCCCUGUCUGGUUGCAGUUCUUCCACAGGGCUGCCCAUCCCCAGGUGAAGCCAGCCCUGCAUGCAUUGCAAAACUUUUCUUUGAAAAUGACUUCAUUGCACCAAACAGCAAUGACUAUGGUAUGAUGCUCAGCAUUUCCUGGAGGAGGAAAAAAAAAAAAAGACAUUGUCAUAGCCAGGGUCUUAUACAAUGCACUCCACAAAAGGAGGGAAGGAAGGUAAAUAUAGAAAAUCGAGGAGAUAUUCUGCAUUGAGAGACACAACAAAAGGAAAAUUGCCAGGAAGUGACUCCACAAUGGGGCCAAAUUCAGACUCCUUGGUCCUAAACACUCAUAUAGGCAACCCCCCUCCUCCAGCAGCUGAACAGGGAGUACCCAGCAUCCCUGGAAUCUGGGAAAGCCCUGGGCAGAAAUCAAUGAGGUGCUUCCCACUAAGCUCUUACUGAAUAUCUAAAACAAGACUUUAGGUUGCUUGUUGUAUGCUUUCAGUUUUAGUAGUGUGAGCCUAGCUAGGUCUGCAUAAAGCAUCUUUCUGUGCAGAUAUUAACAGACCUACUCAUAUUCACUGCACUCAGUGCCAGAGAAGAUGUUGAUACAACCCAAGCUCAUUUAUUCCCAUGCUGUCUGGUCUAGGCCAGUCAUCCUUGUAUUCUCUAAAGCCGAUGGAGAGAGAAAGAAGUAUUUCCAAAGGAUAAUUCAUCCCAUCCCAAGAUAGAUGGUGUUAGCAGGGGAAGGAGAGGUUAAAUUGCUCUUUGAAGAUCCCUCUAUGGAUUACCAGGAAGCAUGACUUAGACUAAACACCUAUUCACUAAACAAAGAAGGGAUGAAUCCCACCAUUACGGUCUAAACUGAUAAUACAAUACAGAUGUGUAGAGCAGUAAGUGACCAGAUGGUGGAUUUAUCACACUACAGUGUAGUUUCUUGUAAUAUAAAUACAGGCUGAUUAAAUAGUUGAUUUGCUCAACAGACCAUCUCAGCUUCAUUACAAGAGCUAGUCUGGAGCCAUUACAAUUCAACGCAUGGCCCUGUGUAUGUUUUUAGAAAAUAUGAUGGUCUGGAAAUAAAAUGUGCAAGCAGCAAUUUUUGGUCAA